rnacentral:misc_RNA from 1 species
GCUAUUUGUGUGGCAAGCUCGGGCUAGGGAACGAAUAACUGUUGAUGAAGCAUUCAAGUAUAUAAGGGAGGUCGCGAAGUGGGACGAGGAAAAAGAAGAGACCUACAACGUUGGAGCAGAAGAUUCAUUUUACAGUACAACCGAUAUUAGCUCGUCUCCUUUCUUCCGACAGGAGUGAAAUAACUUAAAGACAUGUUGAUAGUGUAGAUUAGGACACAGAGAGAGAGAGAGGGAGAG